rnacentral:rRNA from 1 species
UACCUUAGUAACGGCGAGUGAAGCGGUAAAAGCUCAAAUUUGAAAUCUGGUACUUUCAGUGCCCGAGUUGUAAUUUGUAGAAUUUGUCUUUGAUUAGGUCCUUGUCUAUGUUCCUUGGAACAGGACGUCAUAGAGGGUGAGAAUCCCGUUUGGCGAGGAUACCUUUUCUCUGUAAGACUUUUUCGAAGAGUCGAGUUGUUUGGGAAUGCAGCUCAAAGUGGGUGGUAAAUUCCAUCUAAAGCUAAAUAUUGGCGAGAGACCGAUAGCGAACAAGUACAGUGAUGGAAAGAUGAAAAGAACUUUGAAAAGAGAGUGAAAAAGUACGUGAAAUUGUUGAAAGGGAAGGGCAUUUGAUCAGACAUGGUGUUUUUUGCAUGCACUCGCCUCUCGUGGGCUUGGGCCUCUCAAAAAUUUCACUGGGCCAACAUCAAUUCUGGCAGCAGGAUAAAUCAUUAAGAAUGUAGCUACUUCGGUAGUGUUAUAGCUUUUUGGAAUACUGUUAGCCGGGAUUGAGGACUGCGCUUCGGCAAGGAUGUUGGCAUAAUGGUUAAAUGCCGCCCGUCUUGAAACACGGAC